UAACCAUGAUGUGGGCAAGUGAGAAGAAGGUCUUUGAAGCGCUCACAAGCUUGAAAAAAUGGUUUAUUUCCCUUUUGGGAGAAUUACAUGAUUUCUUGUUUCAGUGC